rnacentral:rRNA from 1 species
AUACGUAGGUGGCAAGCGUUGUCCGGAGUUUAUCGGGCGUAAAGCGAGCGCAGGCGGUUUUUUAAGUCUGAUGUGAAAGCCUUCGGCUUAACCGAAGAAGGGCAUCGGAAACUGGGAGACUUGAGUGCAGAAGAGGAGAGUGGAACUCCAUGUGUAGCGGUGAAAUGCGUAGAUAUAUGGAAGAACACCAGUGGCGAAGGCGGCUCUCUGGUCUGUAACUGACGCUGAGGCUCGAAAGCGUGGGUAGC